GUUUUAUGGUUCCAGUUCUUAUGUUUAGGUAUUUUUAUCUAUUAGGAGUUGAUUUUGUAUAAAGUGUAAGAUAUGAGUCUAUUUUUAGUCUCUUUCAUUCAAAAAUCCAGUUUUACCAGCACCAUUUAUAAGACUAUUCUUUGCCCAUUGUGUCUUCUUGGUGUCCUUGUGAAAAAUUAAUUGCCCAUAUGUGUUUGAAUCUAUUUCUAGGCUUUCUAUUCUGUUCCACUAAUCAGUAUGUUUGUUUAUAUGCACAGCCGAUAUACAUGCUCAAAUGUCCGUGUUCAUUUCCUAUUGCCCUCAAGAGUGAUAGAUGCAGGAAGCAGAUAAGGAAGGGUCCCUGAAGAAUCUCCGACCCGCCCCACAAGUGUUUAUGUUUCAUGUUUUUGUGCAGACUAAUUUCUACCUUCAGCAAAAUGUCUACCAAAGUCAAGUAAUAGGGCCUGAUCUGAAGCCGCAAUGAGUCUUCAGAUGUCAAAUAUGCCCUGAAUGCUGUGAAUGCAGAAGAUGAAAUAAUUAAUAUCAACUGGGAGAGCCAAGGAGCAAUGGGGAGUUGUGAAAAUAUUUUGUCAUAUAAAUAACAUGAAAAUUCUAAACAAGACAGUGAUGCUAACGAUUAAUUGUCAGAGUCUUUUUAAGAUAAGAGUAUCAGUUUGGGAAUAUAAAGGUGAGUACUGGAAAGAUUAAUUGAAGGUUUUUAAUAUUUAUAAGUAACAUUUUAUGCCCUUCAAGGAUAUAUACGUAUGCAGGAGAAUAUAUUAAGCAUAUAAAAGUGGCAGAGAUCUAUAACUCUAUGCAUUUCAUGGGUAUAUACGUAUGUAGUUCAAUAGAUUAUAGUGUCCGGAGACUAGAAAAGGAGAAAAAUGAGUGUGGAGUAUUGGAUGCAUUAAUUAUUAUUUUAUACCAUUAGUGGAGA
rnacentral:lncRNA from 1 species